rnacentral:rRNA from 1 species
UAUCUCUGUAGAGUCUGCAUAUCAAUAAGCGGAGGAAAAGAAACUAACAAGGAUUCCCCUAGUAACGGCGAGUGAAGCGGGAAGAGCUCAAAUUUGAAAUCUUAAAGGGUUUCCCUUUACGAAUUGUAGUUUAAAGAAGUGUUUUCUGUUGGAGUUUCGGUAAAAGUUCUUUGGAAUAGGACAUCAUAGAGGGUGAGAAUCCCGUAUUUGACCGUUACUUUCCAGCUGUGUGAUACACUUUCAAAGAGUCGGAUUGUUUGGGAAUGCAGUCCAAAAUGGGUGGUAAAUUUCAUCUAAAGCUAAAUAUUGGCGAGAGACCGAUAGCGAACAAGUACCGUGAGGGGAAAGAUGAAAAGAACUUUGAAAAGAGAGUUAAACAGUACGUGAAAUUGUCAAAAGGGAAGCGUUUGACACCAGUGUUGUUUAGUUGAAAAUCAAUUAAAUAGUUUUCGAUUUUAAGUAGUAUUGACCUUAUCAGCUUGCUGCUUUCUUCUCGGAAAUUAUUUAAUGCACUUUUCAGUUAACAAGUCAACAUCAAUUUCUUUUGCUUGUAAAAAGGUAAGAGGAAGGUGGCUUGCGCUUCGGCUCAAGUGUUUAUAGCCUUUUACUUCUGCAAUCGGAGAGAUUGAGGUCUGCAGCGUAGAUCCUUCGGGGUUAGAUACAUUUGUGCUAAGCUAUAGCCUUGUAUAGACAACUUGUUGACUAUGCUCAGUCAUGUAGCUUACUCGCUUAUGCUAUUUUACCUACGCUUAGGAUGUUGAACGCGCACAGAGUCUC